rnacentral:rRNA from 1 species
GAUGAACGCUGGCGGCGUGCCUAAUACAUGCAAGUCGAGCGAACGGACGAGAAGCUUGCUUCUCUGAUGUUAGCGGCGGACGGGUGAGUAACACGUGGAUAACCUACCUAUAAGACUGGGAUAACUUCGGGAAACCGGAGCUAAUACCGGAUAAUAUUUUGAACCGCAUGGUUCAAAAGUGAAAGACGGUCUUGCUGUCACUUAUAGAUGGAUCCGCGCUGCAUUAGCUAGUUGGUAAGGUAACGGCUUACCAAGGCAACGAUGCAUAGCCGACCUGAGAGGGUGAUCGGCCACACUGGAACUGAGACACGGUCCAGACUCCUACGGGAGGCAGCAGUAGGGAAUCUUCCGCAAUGGGCGAAAGCCUGACGGAGCAACGCCGCGUGAGUGAUGAAGGUCUUCGGAUCGUAAAACUCUGUUAUUAGGGAAGAACAUAUGUGUAAGUAACUGUGCACAUCUUGACGGUACCUAAUCAGAAAGCCACGGCUAACUACGUGCCAGCAGCCGCGGUAAUACGUAGGUGGCAAGCGUUAUCCGGAAUUAUUGGGCGUAAAGCGCGCGUAGGCGGUUUUUUAAGUCUGAUGUGAAAGCCCACGGCUCAACCGUGGAGGGUCAUUGGAAACUGGAAAACUUGAGUGCAGAAGAGGAAAGUGGAAUUCCAUGUGUAGCGGUGAAAUGCGCAGAGAUAUGGAGGAACACCAGUGGCGAAGGCGACUUUCUGGUCUGUAACUGACGCUGAUGUGCGAAAGCGUGGGGAUCAAACAGGAUUAGAUACCCUGGUAGUCCACGCCGUAAACGAUGAGUGCUAAGUGUUAGGGGGUUUCCGCCCCUUAGUGCUGCAGCUAACGCAUUAAGCACUCCGCCUGGGGAGUACGACCGCAAGGUUGAAACUCAAAGGAAUUGACGGGGACCCGCACAAGCGGUGGAGCAUGUGGUUUAAUUCGAAGCAACGCGAAGAACCUUACCAAAUCUUGACAUCCUUUGACAACUCUAGAGAUAGAGCCUUCCCCUUCGGGGGACAAAGUGACAGGUGGUGCAUGGUUGUCGUCAGCUCGUGUCGUGAGAUGUUGGGUUAAGUCCCGCAACGAGCGCAACCCUUAAGCUUAGUUGCCAUCAUUAAGUUGGGCACUCUAAGUUGACUGCCGGUGACAAACCGGAGGAAGGUGGGGGUGACGUCAAAUCAUCAUGCCCCUUAUGAUUUGGGCUACACACGUGCUACAAUGGACAAUACAAAGGGCAGCGAAACCGCGAGGUCAAGCAAAUCCCAUAAAGUUGUUCUCAGUUCGGAUUGUAGUCUGCAACUCGACUACAUGAAGCUGGAAUCGCUAGUAAUCGUAGAUCAGCACGCUACGGUGAAUACGUUCCCGGGUCU